rnacentral:rRNA from 1 species
CGCAGCCGCGGUAAUUCCAGCUCCAAUAGCGUAUAUUAAAGUUGCUGCAGUUAAAAAGCUCGUAGUUGAAUUUCGGGGCUAAUAUGUCGGUCGUGCCUCGGUACGUACUGGUAUUUUUGGUUUCUCCCUUCUGACGAACCUUGAUGUCAUUAAUUUGGUGUCUUGGGAAAUCAGGACUGUUACUUUGAAAAAAUUAGAGUGUUUAAAGCAGGCUCACGCCUGAAUACAUUAGCAUGGAAUAAUGAAAUAGGACGUUUGAUUCUAUUUUGUUGGUUUCUAGGAUUGACGUAAUGAUUAAUAGGGAUAGUUGGGGGCAUUAGUAUUCAAUUGUCAGAGGUGAAAAUUCUUGGAUUUAUUGAAGACUAACUACUGCGAAAGCAAUUUGCCAAGGAUGUUUUCAUUAAUCAAGAACGAGAGUUAGGGAUCGAAGACGAUCAGAUACCGUCGUAGUCUUAACCAUAAACUAUGCCGACUAGGGAUCGGAUGAUGUUAAUUUUUANGUACUCAUUCGGCGCCUUAA